AACCGGUGAUGGCACAGCAGGUCGAUGCGUUCUGGGGAGGUUGUUACUGUUAUAGCUGUGCCAAAGUCAUUUGGUAAACCGUGGUUAACAUGAUGGACCAACACGUCCCUUUUUUGUCAUCUUCACAAACUUAACGAUAUGGGCAUUGCCGUUGUAUCUCUAUGGCUGAUGCUCAUACGCAAAAUGAACCGGCCCUCUUAUGCUAAGUUCCUCUUGUCUACAGUCCUGUGAGUCUGGCUUAUUACUGUGGAGGCGUAAAUGACAUCCGCUCUUAUUUUUAGAUUCUCAAUUGUUUUCAAAGGUUUCAACGCUACCUUGUUUGUCGUCUUUGGGGCGAACGAGGUUUGUGGGCCUUUCAUCCAUUAACAAACUUGCUGUACCUAUCGUAAUGUUUUUCGUCCUCGGAUUCGAUUAACACUAACACUUCACAACAACAAGACGCCGCUUCAAGCAGACCUUCGUUGCUGACCGUAUCGCGUUUACUAGCGAUAGGCCGACAGAGGGCAUCUAUGGCGGUCUGCAAACUGAGACGCAGUUGGUUUUAUGUAGGAAUCUGGGCGUUCUCAGCAAUAACGACGGUAGCAGCAGAUGCAAAUGCGUAACUUCGAACAUUUCUUUUUGCUAGUAACUAUUAAGUAAAUUCAGUGUGUUAUUACUAUGAUUGUAAUGUGAACUAUAUAUAUAUAAAUGCAGGGCGUUAUUACGUAUUUCGACGAUAACAACCCGCAUACAGACCUGAGGCUAGCGAAAACGAAAACAUUG